rnacentral:lncRNA from 1 species
CAGCGUUUGGCGUCUUCUGAGGCUGACUUCUCAGCAGAGGAUCCCUGUGCCUGAGGCCGCGGUGCCCAGAGGUGCCAGGUGGGGCGGGGGAUAUGGUAACUGGGAAACAUAGCCCCGAGCCCAGCUACUGCCCCUCUUAGCUAGGUGGCGAGGAUUCAGUAGUUUGCAGGACUAUGCCUGACACUGUGCCUGGGCGUGGUCUGGGCAGUCUCUUCACAUCAUCCGCGAAGGCAUCUGGGCUUUUUCCUGUCUGUCAGCGGAUGACUCCUUCCUCCGUCGUCCCUCCACGCGUGCGGCCAUCUUUUCAGCAAAGGCAUCUGGGCUUUUUCCCGUCGGUCAGCGGGACAAGUCCCAGGUGGCCUUGGAAUGAACAAGCCCCUCCCUUCUCACGCGUACUUCUCGAGAAUACCUGAAGAAUGUGCCAGGAAUGCAACCACCUGGUCUAGGGAAGGACCGGCCGGACAGCCCUGGCUCUGCUCCUGUGCCUCCUAGGGCAGGAUGUCCCACACACUGUAGCCCUAUGAGUCACCCCUGGCUAUGGAACCCAGAGCAGAGUGCACCUUUGGGAUCUCUCAGCUGUGGUGUGAAGCGGGACACACAUAGACAAGGCUCCAUUCGUUCUGGGCAGCUUUCCCGAGCCUCGGGGACCCGCUCACCAUGGAUCCUAAGCUUCUGCUGUUCCCUGCUGCCUGCCUGUGAGUAAUAAAGUUGCUUUCAUAACUGGUUGUGUGUGUGUUCUGUCUCCCUGGACUCUUGCACGUGGGUUGAUGCUGGUUCAUGGUAUUGGGAGUUCUCUAGAGUCCUCCCCUGAG